CCGAGCGAAAAUUCAAAGUCGAUUUUCUCGAAAACAAAGCCUCAAACGAAAAAUUUUUAUUCUAUAUUUUCGACUUCUUUUUUCGCGUAGAAGCACCCCCUUUCCACUUGUACCACCAGUACCAACCGCCCUGUAUAUUGUUAGAUAUCGUGAAUAUAUAUGUAAU